CUUUUCUGCAUCACCAACAACUUUGUGGAUGACAAGGUGGCCGUUGAUAAUGGUCAAAAGACCAUGAGAACAGGUUAAGCCUGUCUGUCUCACAAUGACAGAGCGUGUGUGUGUGUGUGUACAAGGCAGCCACAAGAAUAGAGAACUCCCUGCUCCCAGAGGGCUCGUUUAAGCUCUACCCAGAGAAAAAACAUUUGUUGUUAUAGAGAUGGGACAAUGCUAUAUACACUGUGUUUCUCUCACAACAUUUUCUUUGCAGAAAAUCUGAUGAACUGCUUCUAACGUGUUCAUUACCAAUACAAC